AUCUGUCUCAGAAGAGACCUACUAUGGAGCUCAAGGAGGUGCAGUGUAGACAGACAGACCGCAGACUGACUGCAGCCCUCCAGCUUUGGUCUUGCUGUCAGCUGGUACUAUCAGCAAUGAUUAAACAUAAGCAAGCAUUGUGAUUCAUCAAGAACUGAUAGACUCAUCACUGAUGUAAACAUUCUUUAGUCUCAAGGUCAGAUCAGAGAGGCAGAGAGAGAGGAAGAAAGAGAAUC